AUCAGCUGACGAGUCCCAAAUAGGACGAAAUGCGCAUCCUGGAU
rnacentral:hammerhead_ribozyme from 1 species